rnacentral:tRNA from 1 species
GGAGGCGUGGCUCAGUGCUACAGUAUCUGCUAGGCAUGCAUGAUAAGGCCCUAGAUUCAAUCCCUGGCAUCUCCA